ACAAGGUUGAACAAACUUACAUAAAGAUGAUUAUCUUUUUUUUUAAGAAAGGAAAUGGGUGAGUCCUUGAACCAAUUUUUCGAUGUCUUUGGAAGCUCUAGGUAUUUGUUUUUUCUAAACAUAUUCUUUGGAGAAGCCUGGAGAGAAAAGGAAAGUGGUCCAAGUGCACACAGAUUGUAAAUCCACAGCUCCCAUCAACAGCAGCAAAGAAAUCAUCUUGACUCAAGCAGGCCACCUCUGAGAUAGGAAAUGAAGCCUCAGGGGAACAUAGGGAAUGAAAGUCCCUGAGUCAGAAUGACACGCUGCUUCCAGGAGACACACAAAAUGGCACUGAGUCCUGUCUUCCCCCAAGGGGGACGUUUUCUAAAUGGCAGCAAAGUAGAUAUUGCGCUGGGCAAUCAAUCAAGUCACUGGCCUCUGCUAAUUCUACUCUCUACUUCUAUGAGAUCAACUUUACUAGAUUUCACAUAUGAGUGAGGUCAUGCAGUAUUUGCCCUUCUGCACCUGGCUUAUUUCACUUAACAUAAUAUCCUCCAGGCUUAUCCAUGUUGCUGCAAAUGACAGGAUUUCAUUCUUUUUUUAAGUCUGAAUAGUAUUCCUUUACAUAAAUAUAGCACAUUUUCUUUAUCCAUUCAUCUGUUGGUGGACACAUAGGUUGAUUCCAUGUCUUGGCUAUUGUGAAUAGUGCUACAAUAAACAUGGGAGUGCAGAUACCUCUUUGACAUAUUGAUUUCAUUUUCUUGGGAUGUAUACCCAGCAGUGGGAUUGCUAGAUCAUGUUGUAGUUCUAUUUUUAAUUUUCUGAGGAAUCUCUCUACUGUUUUUUAUAGUGGUUGUACAAAUUUGCCUUCCCACCAACAGUGUAUAGGAGUUUUUUUCUCCACAUCUUCACCAGCAUUUAUUUUUUGUCUUUUUAAUAAUAGCCAUUCUAACUGGGGUGAAAUGAUAUUUUUUGUGGUUUCAAUUUGCAUUUCCCUGAUGAUUAUGAUGUUGAAGCAUUUUUUCAUAUACCUUGGGUAUUUUUAUGUCUUCUUUUGAGAAACAUCUAUUCAGAUCUUUUGCCC
rnacentral:lncRNA from 1 species